UCCUUUACUCCAGCACAUGUUAUCAAUGUGUAAGGAGCACUUGGACUUUUGUCACUGAACACUUCAAAAAACUGUGAGCAAACUAGCGACCUGUUGCUCUGUUCGUCCAGGAUUGCAUACAGUUUAACUGCUUUGUCUCUCUGUUCAGCUGGAUAGACCUUUACAAGACAUAUUUUGGAGCAGGAUCGACCUGGCAGAUCUCCGCCGCAGACUUCUGUGCAUUUGGUGGUAACACAAGGUUGAUAAUGACACCAGCAAGGAGCGUUGUUUACUACAGUGUGCUGUGAUGCCGUUGUUGCUGCCCAAAAUAGAGAGAGUGAUGUUGAGAUGGAAUCAUAUACCAGUGACUUGAGUGAUGAGGAGGUGGUUGAAAAUGUUGAUGAAAUGGACAAAGAGAAUCAGACACCCAUUGAAUGUCCAGCUGAUGAUGAUGAUAAAGACAUCGAGCCAACCAACUUAAGCAACUAUGCCCAGGACCAGUAUCACUUUCUGAAAAAGGAUCAUUUAAUCAUUUCUAAUACUGAUUUGACUCUGGUCCAGAUGUCAGCAGUGGUGCUGAUGCUGAACAGGUGACUGUUCCACGCGCAACUAGCAUCCUCUCUCAUCCUGACAAACACAGCUGUCAACACAUCAAGGACACACUUCAGCCUUUGACAUCCAUAAUAGUGACAGUUGUCAGAGAUCCGUGACUGCUCAGAAGAGACCAUCCUUAGGUAAUGGGGGUCCACCAAAUGGGGUCCCAGCCAAGAAGUCAUGUGAACCACCAGUGGAGACAAGGUUUUCAUUCUGUUUUGUAUAUAAUAUUUUAUACGU